CAUUCUUUGAGUUCUAUCUCUCGUUCAUUUGCUUUUAGGCAAAUCACAUUGUAGGAUUACAAUGAACAACCCAAUAAAACAACAUUUGUUAGUUGGUUUAUAGAAGCGAUAUCCAAAAGUUAAUUUAAGGAUAUCCCACAAGAUUGUUAUCAAACAAAUAUUGCUUAUAAGCACACAACCCCAAAUCUUAACAUGUUUUAAGAUUUGUCUUUCUUUCCAACUACAUCUUAUGGAGUCAUGAAAAAUUUGGAAGAUCUUCUAAUUGACAAUCAUAUUGUUUUUAGAAGUAUAUAUCCUAUAUAUGGGUAAUAGAUAACAUCUAACGAACUAAAUCUUAUUCGAGUUCGUUCUUCUCCUUAUGGAGAAAUCUAUUAUCUUAUGAUGCUUAUUUCCUUGAUAUCUUUCAAGGAAAUUGUUUUAAAGUGUUACCUUAUCUUGGAUCAAAUCUAAGGAGGUAAUUACUUUAGACGUCUUACUCAUCAACUUACAUUACUUGAAUUCUUUGAAACAUUUUGCAAAGUAUUCGGACUUGUG
rnacentral:lncRNA from 1 species